AGCGAACCCUGGCGGCAGGCCUAAUACAUGCAAGUCGAGCGGCCCUUCGGGGCAGCGGCGGACGGGUGAGUAACGCGUGGGAAUGUGCCCUUUGGUACGGAACAACUGAGGGAAACUUCAGCUAAUACCGUAUGUGCCCUUCGGGGGAAAGAUUUAUUGCCAUUGGAGCAGCCCGCGUUGGAUUAGGUAGUUGGUGAGGU
rnacentral:rRNA from 1 species